AUGCUUACUUGGCAGGGGAAAUACCAUGACCAUGAUGGUGUUUUUCCCAGGAAGAUUUAUCCAUUACACUCUGGGUUUUCUGACUCCUGUGAUUUCCCCAAAUGCAGGAAACUCGAAUGCAGAGUUUGUGAUAGUGGUGGAACGUGUUGAACAUUAUUUUUAA
rfam:Neotoma lepida isolate 417 scaffold_2226, whole genome shotgun sequence.